UACGUAGGGACCAAGCGUUGUUCGGAUUUACUGGGCGUAAAGGGCGCGUAGGCGGCGUGACAAGUCACUUGUGAAAUCUCUGAGCUUAACUCAGAACGGCCAAGUGAAACUGUUGUGCUAGAGUGCAGAAGGGGCAAUCGGAAUUCUUGGUGUAGCGGUGAAAUGCGUGGAUAUCAAGAGGAACACCUGAGGCGAAGGCGGGCUACUGGGCCGAUACUGACGCUGAUGUGCGAAAGCCAGGGGAGCGAACGGG
rnacentral:rRNA from 1 species